UGUCUACAAGUCCCCCAAAGCCUCGGGCAGUCAUGGUGGGGCUUUCAGAGGCGGCUGGGUCUGCAGUGUGAUGCUGGGAUCAAGGCUGUGUGCUUACUGACUCAGCCCACUGACUGGCUGGCACAGCGCUGGGUGUGGACAACAGGAAGUCACCUAGAGGAAGGAUGAAAGGGACAGGCAGUGGCAGCUGCUUCACCGCCCUGCGGCCUGCCCUGCCGUGGGCUGUUCCCCCUCUGCAGCGUCCCUCUGCCAGGCCACCCUGCCUCGGAGCCGGUCGACUCUGCACGGAAACCUCUGCACACUGUGAGCUGCACUAGUCCGGCCCUCUUUAACUUUCAGGAUAAUCAGCAGUGUGCCUCAGCAACAAGAAAACGAAGCCCGAGACGCUCCCCAAUCCCAGCCACAGUCUCUGGCACGCUACUCUCCGUCUCCACAAAUCUGGCCGCUGUGUGUCGCUCCCGUGAGAGGGAUCACACACUCUCUGCCCACCCAGCUUCAUUUAGUGUAAUGUCCUCCCGAUGCGUCCACGCUGAGGCCUGAAGAACCAUCUCUCUUCUGAAGAGUAAAUAAUACUCCACUCACUGUGCCUUUCUGCUACACUGCACGCACCCAUCCAUCUCUAGGACAGUAUCAUCAAACCAUGAGCCCAGGUGAACGUGAGGGCCCCUCCUCCUCCUCAUAAUCACCCCCAAAGAGUCGGGGCACCGUGCAGAGCUCGGCACACUCUUGGUUUCUCACGGUCACCCAGGAAUGGAAUGCAGGGGGGCACCAGAGACCGCGCCGGCCUGGCCAUCUGCAGCAAGCGGCCUUUUGUGCUUUAUUUGUUUCUUUUCUUCUCACUGCCAGGGACCCACAGUUUUGUAAAAUACAUUAAAAUGACAACAUGGUAGAAUAAAAUUUAAAAGACAAAAAAAUGAAAGCAUUUGGCCAUUAAAAAAAGUUAGACUCAGCAGACACAAAAUUACUGGGAAAACUGCUAAAAUGCUUCCAAGUGUUCCCGGUUUCUGCUCUGCCCUGUUACAGACCCACAGCUCGGGGCUGGCACAGCGACCCGACCCGCAGCUGUGUUCUGAGCCACGAGAAGCGCAGCCACUAAGUGACCACAGCGAGGCCCCCCAGCAUACUCUGCUGCCCAUGGCAGGGUCUGGCUGUAAGAAUCAACGAAGCCAAGGAGUCAGCAGCUCUGCUCCUCAGUGCCGCCCCAAGGCAGUGGAACAGCAUGUUCCCAUAAAACCGGCCGGGAACGUUCGUGGCAGUAAAUGGGAUGUCAGGGUGUGCACAGCCGGAGAAGCGACUACCAGACCGCGGCGCUCCACAGGAGACCAGGAGGAAGGGCUGACGCACGCGGCCACGUGGAUGAACCUGGACCAGGUAACACUAUGGAAAAGAAGCCGGUAUGAAGCUCAGACUCCGCACAACUGUGGCUGCGUGAAAGGUUCGGCAUGCACAGAAGCAGGAAGGGCUGAGCAACGGUGUCUGAGGCCAGAAGACGCCAGGACGAUGGGUAACGGGAGACAGUCUCUCUGUGGGGUGGUGGGACACUCCAAAGCCCUGAGGGGUAUGGAAAAUCCUGGGCCCUGUGUGGCUUGGAGGUGGAGCAUAUGUGCAGCCGGUUCCAUCCCCUCAGCCCACUGCUUGGAUUAUUUAAUGUUAUGCUUUGUUGUUUGUUUUUGUCUUUUUGAGAUUAUUUUGUAGCCCAGGUUGAUCUCAAAUUUGUAACAAUCGCCCUGCCUCAGCCUCCCAAGUGCUGGGAUUACAGCCAUGUGCCACCAUACCUGGCUAAUUUUAAAUAGACGAACCGUAAGGCACAUUAACUGUAUCUCAAUAAAGCUGCUAUGAAAAAUGAAGCAGUGGCCAGGGAUGUAGCUCAGUGGCACAAGCACCUGCCUGGCAGGCACAAGGUCAUGAGUUCAAUCCCUGGUACCAAAAAGUAAAAAAAUAAAUAAAUAAUGAAGCCACAUUCUGAGGCUGUUAAAAUGACUGAAUUACUUAUGUAAAGCCUAAAGAAAAUUCUAGACCUGGGUGAAUUCUUUCAGGUACGAAAAAAGCAACACUCGAGUUUAACACAACGGUCUCCAAAACACAGAAACUAAUUCCCAGCUUGUUUCAUGAUUACAACCUUGACCCCAAGACCUGGCACCAGAAGAAAGGGCAUCAGACCACCUCCCCACAGAGACAGUUCAGUCUCCCAACAAAAUCUUAGCAAACGGGACACAGCGACAACACACGGCGCAGCAGGCCAGGGCUGUCCCAGGAACGCAAGGUGCAAGGUGCUGCCCGCCAGCUGGGCCGGAGGAGGAAAGCAUGUGCCAUCUGGGAGGCACGGGUUGUAACUUUAGGGGCUGCUCACUGUUUACCCCAAGCUCAGCUACGAAACCAGGACACCUGCGCUCGCCAGUGAGCUGAGCCCUCUCCAAGGUCCCUGCCAGAACCCGGAGCCAAGGAAAGAAACAAGGCUUAGGAGGCUGGCACGGGACAAGGGGAGCUCUAUUUAUAGACCUGGGCCAGAAAAUACAUGGAAAAUCUAGAGGCCAUUAAGCCCUGAGGAUUAAUAGUGAGCGCAGCAAGGUCUCAGGAUGCAAGAAGAAUAAGCAAAGUCCCCCACAGCUCAGAAGGCGAAUUUUACACAGAAAUAAAGCGUUACUUAAAAUAGCACCAAGGGUAAAUGCCUAACCGUAAAUCCCAUGGGACACACGAGCCCCACCCCCACCCCACACAGAGUGCUACAAGGCAACCUCAGAGAAAGACUCGGGCCCCAGAGUGGCAGACCCUGCCCGGGUAUCCACGCCCGGCUCUGUCCACUGUCGCUCCUUCUCGGCAUGUAUUCACGUUCAGAGAAUCUCAGCAGGCUUCUUUAAGUUUUGUUUUAUUGUUAUUGUUAUUUUUUAGAAACUGGUAAAGUGAUCCUAAAACAUAUACAGAGGGCAGGCAUUAUGACGCAUACCUGUAAUCCUAGCUAUUCCGGAGGCUGAGGCAGGAAGAUUGCAGGUUCAAGGCCAGCUUGGGCAGCUCAGUGAGCCCCUGUCUCAAAAACAAAACAAAACAAAAAAAGGCUGAGGCUGUGGAGCGCUUCCCUAGCAUGUGCCAGGCUCUGGCUCUAACUCCAAACACCAGUGUUUAAAUAAAAAUUCAGAAAUGCAAUGCAAAUGGCCAAGGACAGCCAAAGGAAUCUUUAAGAGCAAAACACAAUUGGAUCUCCACAUUUACUAUGAGUUUUUCUUAAUUGAAAUAAGGUGGCGUUGGCACAUGGAUGGAAAAGGAAGUCCAGAAAAAGAUCUGAAAUGACUAAAAGAAACAAGAAAAAAGAAAAAGUCAAGUUCUGGGAGGCUGCGAGAGACAGGAACCUGGACGCUUGGUGAGACCGCCACCCGCCUAAGGAAACCAUUUGGUGCCGUUUACUAAACUUUUAACGUGUCUCAAGCCCAGAAAUUCCAUUGUGAGGCAUAAACAUGACAAAAGUAAACAUAUAUCUUCCCGGCAAGACACACACAAGACUGCCCACAGUAUCACCCCUAGUAGCCAGAAACGGACACUACCCAAACAUCAGGCAACAGCACACCAAAAACGGUAAAUAAACACAUCAGUGAGCCACCCACAACUCCACACAGCAGCAUGGACGGAUCGGACCAACAGAGCGGGACCACGGAUGCAGGGGACUCCGUGGCAGGCGCUCCCAAGCCUACGGAGCCGGAAGCAGGCCACGCUGUGACGGAUGGGAGCCCCGCUGUCCUGGGGCACGGGGGAGGCAGUCAUGUGCAACUUCCAGAAGUGGACAGGUUGUCUUGCUCUGUAGUCCAGGCUGGCCUUGAACUCAUGGUAAUCCUCCUGCCUCAGCCUCCUGACUGCUGAAACGCAGAACUGGGAUCCUUUUAUGAAGUGCGCCAAGGACAUUUUAGUGCCUCUCUCCCUGCCUCAUGUUAAGAAUACUUUGUAUCAAAACAGAACUUGCCACAGGCAAUGACACAUAGUAAAUUUGCAGCUUUUAAGAAGUA